ACCUGUCUCACAUUAAGCAAGGCCGGAGGGGCCCUAUGGGCCCACCAGGAGCACCAGGAAGACACGGCUCCAAGGGGGAGAGAGGAGCACCUGGGCCCCCAGGGU